UUAUCAACGACGCCAUGGCAUUGGCAGCGCAGGAGGAGGACGAUCGUGUCAUAGAGCCGGGUGAAGUAGAGAAAGAGAAAUAUGAAACUUUUGCUGCCAUAUCGAUUAUUAUUGCAAGAAAACACGUCAAUGAGACUGACUGGUGACAGGCAAUUGGCAAAGCAAGAAGAGGUUCCAAGAGAGAAACCUUUCGAGUUGGCUGGCUGGCUUUAAAGGAUAUCUCUGUGUAAGGCUUGGCAUCUGAGCAAUCAUUCUAAGAUUUGCGACUAUGUAAACAAGAGUUUUUCUUCUUCUUCUUCUUUUUUUUUUUUUUUUUUUCUUGGGUGAAAUUCAAUUGCUGUCUCCUCUCCAUUCUACCGGGAUAGAAUCCAUGAUUCAGGCCCUUGGUCUUUCAACGGUGAUGUGAUUUUAAUGAUCAAGUGUGAAGCCAAUAUGGUACUGAUACCUGCAUAUUGCAAAUUGGAGAUGGUAGAGUUUUGGUUUGGGUGCAGUUACCCAAUUUACCCUCAGAAUGCCUAACAGCGGAGCGGAAAUUGCCUAGAGCAUUGCUACCAGCCUACCACCAUGGCAGAGGAAGUGGAAAAGUAGGUUCCGUUUUGCAAGAAUAAAAGUCCAGAUGAAUAUCUACCGGUUACCAUUGGUUCGUGCUGUCGAAUAUACUUUGCUUAAAUAAUGAAGAGAUAAUGAUUAGUAUUGCUUAUGAGAGACAGAUUUUGUAGUCUGUGUAGAUGCAAAGAGAGGGUGGACCUGGACAUCAUGGAGAAAGUAGAAAGUCUGUUAAGCUCGGUUUGGAAGUAGUACAAAUACAAAUUUGUAGAGUACAAAACAUUACAUUUUCUAUUAUUUUGUUUGUAUUUGUAUUUGUACUCUGAGCRUUAAUUUCAAAUAGAAAGUUACGGUCCCCGAUUCAAGUCUAUUUCGUUCGAGAAGCCAGCAAAGAAAAUAACAAAUUACACUACAUCAAUAUUGAGCUAUAGCGGCAGUUCAAGUGACUGCCGGUGGAAAUACGACCCUUUAAGCAGCAGUCGCUUUGAAGAACUAAAGAAGGCUGAAGGCGCGAAAAAUGACAAUAGGGUUCCCUUUUCUCAGCCGCUAGAGUGGUUCUCCUCCUUCUCUUCCCCCCCCCCUCUCUCUCCGAUUGCCCAUCUGACCGAUUUGGGUUUGCCYGUGCUCUCCACCGGACGGCACCAACCGGCGACAGCUACGUCAUCGGACUGGAUUCCGGCUGCCCUAUUCGCCUCUCACCUAUAGAUAGUAAGCAGUAAGAGAUCAAUAAACCAAUGUCCAAGUUCAUCUUCAUGCGAUUUAGGGAGAAGAAGAAUGGGUUUGUGUGACCCAAAUGUUUUGUAUUGAAUGGAGAAUGAAAUAUGUAGUAAGGAGUUUAUUGGAAUUGAAACUAGGUUAUGACACUAUGUUUUAGUUGUAAAUGAUGUUUUAAAGAGAUUACUUAUUUUAUUUUAGAUCAAUUGAUGGUGGUGAGCUUUUGUUUUAAUGUUUAGUUUCGAUUUGGAUGGUUGAAGGAAAAACAAGUUAUUUUGAUAGUUGGAAUAUGGUUKGACUUGCAUGUUA